CCAAAGUCAUGGUUAAGUGGGAAACGAUGUGGGAAGGCUUAGACAGCUAGGAUGUUGGCUUAGAAGCAGCCAUCAUUUAAAGAAAGCGUAAUAGCUCACUAGUCGAGUCGGCCUGCGCGGAAGAUGUAACGGGGCUAAACCAUGCACCGAAGCUGCGGCAAUGACAUUUAGGUGUUAUUGGGUAGGGGAGCGUUCUGUAAGCGGUUGAAGGUGUACUGUGAGGUAUGCUGGACGUAUCAGAAGUGCGAAUGCUGACAUAAGUAACGAUAAAGCGGGUGAAAAGCCCGCUCGCCGGAAGACCAAGGGUUCCUGUUCAACGUUAAUCGGAGCAGGGUGAGUCGACCCCUAAGGCGAGGCUGAAAAGCGUAGUCGAUGGGAAACGGGUUAAUAUUCCCGUACUUGUGGUAACUGCGAAGGGGGGACGGAGAAAGUUAGGCUAUCCGGGCGACGGUUGUCCCGGUUUAAGCGUGAAGGUGGAGAGACUAGGCAAAUCCGGUCUUUCAUUAACACUGAGGCGUGAUGACGAAGCACUACGGUGCUGAAGUAGCUGAUACUACGCUUCCAGGAAAAGCCUCUAAGCAUCAGGUUACCAGAAAUCGUACCCCAAACCGACACAGGUGGUCAGGUAGAGAAUACUCAGGCGCUUGAGAGAACUCGGGUGAAGGAACUAGGCAAAAUGGUGCCGUAACUUCGGGAGAAGGCACGCUGAUGGUAGGUGAAGUCCCUCGCGGAUGGAGCUGAACUCAGUCGAAGAUACCAGCUGGCUGCAACUGUUUAUUAAAAACACAGCACUGUGCAAACACGAAAGUGGACGUAUACGGUGUGACGCCUGCCCGGUGCCGGAAGGUUAAUUGAUGGGGUUAGCGAAAGCGAAGCUCUUGAUCGAAGCCCCGGUAAACGGCGGCCGUAACUAUAACGGUCCUAAGGUAGCGAAAUUCCUUGUCGGGUAAGUUCCGACCUGCACGAAUGGCGUAAUGAUGGCCAGGCUGUCUCCACCCGAGACUCAGUGAAAUUGAAAUCGCUGUGAAGAUGCAGUGUACCCGCGGCAAGACGGAAAGACCCCGUGAACCUUUACUAUAGCUUGACACUGAACAUUGAGCCUUGAUGUGUAGGAUAGGUGGGAGGCAUUGAAACGUGAACGCCAGUUUGCGUGGAGCCGACCUUGAAAUACCACCCUUUAAUGUUUGAUGUUCUAACGUUGUCCCGUAAUCCGGGAUACGGACAGUGUCUGGUGGGUAGUUUGACUGGGGCGGUCUCCUCCUAAAGAGUAACGGAGGAGCACGAAGGUUAGCUAAGCAUGGUCGGACAUCAUGCGGUUAGUGCAAAGGCAGAAGCUAGCUUAACUGCGAGACGGACAGGUCGAGCAGAUACGAAAGUAGGUCUUAGUGAUCCGGUGGUUCUGAAUGGAAGGGCCAUCGCUCAACGGAUAAAAGGUACUCCGGGGAUAACAGGCUGAUACCGCCCAAGAGUUCAUAUCGACGGCGGUGUUUGGCACCUCGAUGUCGGCUCAUCACAUCCUGGGGCUGAAGUUGGUCCCAAGGGUAUGGCUGUUCGCCAUUUAAAGUGGUACGCGAGCUGGGUUUAGAACGUCGUGAGACAGUUCGGUCCCUAUCUGUCGUGGGCGUUGGAUGAUUGAGGGGGGCUGCUCCUAGUACGAGAGGACCGGAGUGGACGCAUCUCUGGUGUUCCGGUUGUCACGCCAGUGGCAUUGCCGGGUAGCUAAAUGCGGAAGAGAUAAGCGCUGAAAGCAUCUAAGCGCGAAACUUGCCCCGAGAUGAGUCAUCCCUGAGGCUUUGAGCCUCCUAAAGGGUUGUUGGAGACUACGACGUAGAUAGGCAGGGUGUGUAAGCGUAGCGAUACGUUGAGCUAACCUGUACUAAUUGCCCGUGAGGCUUAACCAU
rnacentral:rRNA from 1 species